GAUGAACGCUGGCGGCGUGCUUAACACAUGCAAGUCGAACGGAAAGGCCCAAGCUUGCUUGGGUACUCGAGUGGCGAACGGGUGAGUAACACGUGGGUGAUCUGCCCUGCACUUCGGGAUAAGCCUGGGAAACUGGGUCUAAUACCGGAUAGGACGAUGGUUUGGAUGCCAUUGUGGAAAGUUUUUUCGGUGUGGGAUGAGCUCGCGGCCUAUCAGCUUGUUGGUGGGGUAAUGGCCUACCAAGGCGUCGACGGGUAGCCGGCCUGAGAGGGUGUACGGCCACAUUGGGACUGAGAUACGGCCCAGACUCCUACGGGAGGCAGCAGUGGGGAAUAUUGCACAAUGGGCGCAAGCCUGAUGCAGCGACGCCGCGUGGGGGAUGACGGCCUUCGGGUUGUAAACUCCUUUCGCUAGGGACGAAGCGUUUUUGUGACGGUACCUGGAGAAGAAGCACCGGCUAACUACGUA
rnacentral:rRNA from 1 species